CCUACGGGAGGCUGCAGUAGGGAAUCUUCCACAAUGGGCGAAAGCCUGAUGGAGCAACGCCGCGUGAUUGAAGACGGCCUUCGGGUUGUAAAGAUCUUUAAUCGGGGACGAAUUUUGACGGUACCCGAAGACUCAGCUCCGGCUAACUACGUGCCAGCAGCCGCGGUAAUACGUAGGGAGCAAGCGUUAUCCGGAUUUACUGGGUGUAAGGGGCGUGUAGGCGGGCAUGCAAGCCAGAAGUGAAAUCUGGGGGCUUAACCCCCAAACUGCUUUUGGAACUGCGUGUCUUGAGUGAUGGAGAGGCAGGCGGAAUUCCCAGUGUAGCGGUGAAAUGCGUAGAUAUUGGGAGGAACACCAGUGGCGAAGGCGGCCUGCUGGACAGUAACUGACGCUGAGGCGCGAAAGCGUGGGGAGCAAACAGGAUUAGAUACCCUUGUAGUC
rnacentral:rRNA from 1 species